GGGGAUGAAAGGAUUUCGACGGGGAUAUUGCACCGUGAUAAGCGAGCAGCGGUGGGGUACCGCUUAAAACAGCCUCAGUUUAUGAAAAUAAACGACAAAGAUUCAAAAGUACUUCUCGCUGCUUAAUUUGCAGUGAGCAUGCCCCCGAGAGGACCGCGGCUCGGUACGGCGUGUCAUUGAGCGGUAAAUGUGCACAGGUGAGCGCCCUGUAACCUGUCACACACCAAAGGGCUACCGCGUCUUAAAGCCUGCCGCCCGGCGUUUUGACAAGGGAAUAAAAAAAGAACGGCUACGCUCGUAGAAAGUUGCGGGAAUGUGUUUUCGGACGCGGUUUCGAUUACCGCCAUCUCCACCA
rnacentral:tmRNA from 1 species